UACGUAGGGGGCAAGCGUUGUCUGGAUUUAUUGGGCGUAAAGAGCGUGUAGGCGGUCAGGUAGGUCCGUUGUGAAAACUCGAGGCUCAACCUCGAGACGCCGAUGGAAACCAUCUGACUAGAGUCCGGAAGAGGAGAGUGGAAUUCCUGGUGUAGCGGUGAAAUGCGCAGAUAUCAGGAAGAACACCCGUGGCUAAGGCGGCUCUCUAGUACGGUACUGACGCUGAGACGCGAAAGCGUGGGGAGCGAACAGG
rnacentral:rRNA from 1 species